UCCCCAAAUAACUCAGCCGGUAGAGCAAUAAACUCUUAAUCUCAGGGUCGUGGGUUCGAGUCUCGCAUGGGCAA